rnacentral:lncRNA from 1 species
CCACUGUGAGAGAAAGAAGAGAAAUUGAGAGAAAGUAAGAAAGAAGAGUGAAAUCACACAGGAGAUUUUCACAGGUUAUAUAUUUUGCAAUACUCUCAUCUUGUUGCUAUCUAUCCUCACGCUCUCCUCAUUUGAAUGCAUUUCAAGUGCAUGUGCACAGCACAGCACAGCUCUAUCCCCACCCACUCUGACCGCUGUACCUCUUUUCAUAGUGGUCUUCAGUAAGGGGGGGUUGUCAAUCACACCGUUAGGCCCCCCUGAGGACCCAGAGGGCUUAUGAUGAUUCCAAAAGAAAUCACAUUAACCGUUCUCAUCCUAUCGAUCCUGACGAUGACAUCACCCACUCUCAGCUCUCCAUUUCCCGUGAAGGGGAGCGAAGGAGAGAGGGAGGGAGAUAAAUCUUUAACCAAGAGAGAUUCUCUUUCAGUCAGGGAGAGUUGCGCCAUCGAUUUGGGUUUUGCCCUCGGCCCGUCUUUGCCCCUGCGAGAGGCUCGGUGUCCGUUCCUGAAUGGAAGUUUCCACAUUAGGCUCUCCGGAGGCAGACCCAAUCUAUGAGGGAAUUGCAUUAGGCGGAGUACAGCUGGUCAGGGCCCUAACACUGAAGAUGAGCUAAUGAAUGGCUGGGAAGAAACAUGCGCCCGUGUUUAUUUUAAAUUGUAAAGAAUGUUCCCGUCCUAGAUGGAUUUUUUUAAUAACUUUAUGGAAAUGUGUGGCUAAUGUGUGAAAUGUGUGUGUGGGUGGGUGUAUGUGGGUGUAUGUGUGUGGGUAUGUGGGUGUGUGUAUGUGGGUGUAUGUGUGUGGGUAUGUGGGUGUGUGUGGGGGGGUAUGUGAGUGGGUAUGCGGGUGUGUGUGGUGUGUGGGUGUGUGUCUGUCUCUGUCGGUUUGUUUAAGCAUGGAGUGUGUGCAUUUGAAUGGAAUGGAAUGGUGUGUAUAGGGCGGUUUUGGGAUGGAUGGAAUGGUGUGUAUAGGGCGGUUUGGGGUUGGAUGGAAUGGCGUGUAUAGGGCGGUUUUGGGUUGGAUGGAAUGGUGUGUAUAGGGUGGUUUUGGGUUGGAUGGAAUGGCGUGUAUAGGGAAGUUUUGGGUUGGAUGGAAUGGUGUGUAUAGGGCGGUUUUGGGAUGGAUGGAAUGGUGUGUAUAGGGUGGUUUUGGGUUGGAUGGAAUGGCGUGUAUAGGGAAGUUUUGGGUUGGAUGGAAUGGUGUGUAUAGGGCGGUUUUGGGAUGGAUGGAAUGGUGUGUAUAGGGAAGUUUUGGGUUGGAUGGAAUGGCGUGUGUAGGGCGGUUUUGGGUUGGAUGGAAUGGUGUGUAUAGGGCGGUUUUGGGUUGGAUGGAAUGGUGUGUAUAGGGAAGUUUUGGGUUGGAUGGAAUGGUGUGUAUAGGGUGGUUUUGGGUUGGAUGGAAUGGUGUGUAUAGGGUGGUUUUGGGUUGGAUGGAAUGGUGUGUAUAGGGUGGUUUUGGGUUGGAUGGAAUGGCGUGUAUAGGGCGGUUUUGGGAUGGAUGGAAUGGCGUGUAUAGGGUGGUUUUGGGUUGGAUGGAAUGGUGUGUAUAGGGCGGUUUUGGGUUGGAUGGAAUGGUGUGUAUAGGGAAGUUUUGGGUUGGAUGGAAUGGUGUGUAUAGGGCGGUUUUGGGUUGGAUGGAAUGGCGUGUAUAGGGAAGUUUUGGGUUGGAUGGAAUGGUGUGUAUAGGGUGGUUUUGGGUUGGAUGGAAUGGUGUGUAUAGGGUGGUUUUGGGUUGGAUGGAAUGGCGUGUAUAGGGCGGUUUUGGGAUGGAUGGAAUGGUGUGUAUAGGGUGGUUUUGGGUUGGAUGGAAUGGCGUGUAUAGGGCGGUUUUGGGUUGGAUGGAAUGGCGUGUAUAGGGUGGUUUUGGGUUGGAUGGAAUGGCGUGUAUAGGGAAGUUUUGGGUUGGAUGGAAUGGUGUGUAUAGGGCGGUUUUGGGUUGGAUGGAAUGGUGUGUAUAGGGUGGUUUUGGGUUGGAUGGAAUGGCGUGUAUAGGGUGGUUUUGGGUUGGAUGGAAUGGCGUGUAUAGGGUGGUUUUGGGUUGGAUGGAAUGGUGUGUAUAGGGUGGUUUUGGGUUGGAUGGAAUGGCGUGUAUAGGGUGGUUUUGGGUUGGAUGGAAUGGUGUGUAUAGGGUGGUUUUGGGUUGGAUGGAAUGGCGUGUAUAGGGAAGUUUUGGGUUGGAUGGAAUGGUGUGUAUAGGGCGGUUUUGGGUUGGAUGGAAUGGUGUGUAUAGGGUGGUUUUGGGUUGGAUGGAAUGGCGUGUAUAGGGCGGUUUUGGGAUGGAUGGAAUGGUGUGUAUAGGGUGGUUUUGGGUUGGAUGGAAUGGUGUGUAUAGGGCGGUUUUGGGUUGGAUGGAAUGGUGUGUAUAGGGUGGUUUUGGGUUGGAUGGAAUGGUGUGUAUAGGGCGGUUUUGGGUUGGAUGGAAUGGUGUGUAUAGGGAAGUUUUGGGUUGGAUGGAAUGGUGUGUAUAGGGCAGUUUUGGGUUGGAUGGAAUGGUGUGUAUAGGGAAGUUUUGGGUUGGAUGGAAUGGUGUGUAUAGGGCGGUUUUGGGAUGGAUGGAAUGGCGUGUAUAGGGUGGUUUUGGGUUGGAUGGAAUGGUGUGUAUAGGGCGGUUUUGGGUUGAAUGGAAUGGUGUGUAUAGGGAAGUUUUGGGUUGGAUGGAAUGGUGUGUAUAGGACGGUUUUGGGUUGGAUGGAAUGGUGUGUAUAGGGUGGUUUUGGGUUGGAUGGAAUGGCGUGUAUAGGGCGGUUUUGGGAUGGAUGGAAUGGUGUGUAUAGGGUGGUUUUGGGUUGGAUGGAAUGGUGUGUAUAGGGCGGUUUUGGGUUGGAUGGAAUGGUGUGUAUAGGGUGGUUUUGGGUUGGAUGGAAUGGUGUGUAUAGGGCGGUUUUGGGUUGGAUGGAAUGGUGUGUAUAGGGCGGUUUUGGGUUGGAUGGAAUGGUGUGUAUAGGGUGGUUUUGGGAUGGAUGAGUGUGCUUCUAGUUUCACAUUUUCAAGUUUUAUUUAUCACAUGCACAAGUAGAGUGAAAUGCUUAACUUGUGAGCCCUUCCCAACAAUGCAGUACAUUGAUGCAUGCAGGGUUGUGUGUACCUGUGCAGUUAGGCUAUAUUUCUCAAAGUGUGCAUCAUUGUUGAAUGCAUUACUGUGCCUAGUGUGGCGGAGGUGAGUCAGACUCACGCUCACGUGUUCAGCUAGUCUUCCCCCAGUUACACCAG